rnacentral:lncRNA from 1 species
UUUUUUUUUUUAAUAUAAGCCAUACUGUCUCUCAUAGAGAAUCCUGUUUGCUUGUAGGUAAUAAAUUUUUGGCAUCCUGAAAAAUAUCUUUGUACCAGGAGAACAGUGGGAUUUCUUUCCCUGCAUUGGUCCAGACGCUCAGGAUACCACUCCUGGUUCCACAGACCCUUUUGCUUUAACAACAAAAGUUUCCACCCCGUUUGCUCCACUUGUGGCUGCUUGGGUUGCUGCUUGGGCAGCUGUAGCAUGAAGCAGGACUGCGAGUUGCGCGGGGACAGGAUGCUGCUUCGCUCCACAGUCUCUCUGCAAAGCCCAACCUGAGUCUGAAAUGCACUAACAUGGAGUGUUAUUAAUUCUAUCAGUUAGUGACAAGGAUGUUACUCUUGCCUAGAAGAUAUGACCAUAGUCUGACUGUGGCUGCUGCUAAAACAACCAGCCCCUGCGUCAUCAUGUUCUGGGAACCACUGGAUCCUGAAAAAUAUAGACAUCGCUUGUGUUUGCUGCCUUGGGGUAGGCUUCUACAGGAUAAACUUGGGUUUGAGUAGCCUUUGCUCAGAGCUGGAACCUGAAGGCCAGCCACUGGUUUCCGUGGACCCUAAUCCUUGACCUCACCCAACCAUUUUGUCCUCGAACUUAAUGCUGUGAAGGUGUCUGAUAAAGUUAAAUCAUAAGACUGACAUCUGAUUUAACUCGCUCAGAUUGACAGUUGGGUAAAUGUAUGUAGAGAAU